UGCUCUGUACCUUAUUAUUAAGGAGAGCUUCCAGCUGCAUAGGGAUAUUUGUGACGGCAGUGCAGUUCUUCUCGAGGCUUUUUUCGACAUGGACCAGAAGGACAGGGUUAAAGCCUACGAAAGCUUCUACACCUCUGCCAAACAAGCGGACGAGCUACAUGAGUUUCUCAAUUUGUGCAAGCAUCAUGGUAUUGGUCGGUCUUCGGAGUACAUCGAAGUCGCACCUGUUCCGAAGGAGCAACUGGAUAAUCUUGAGGAAUAUUUGCGAUCAAACGCACCAACCCGAACCAGGAGCAAGAGCCCCGAGGCUCCGACUUUGCAACUCGAGUACAAGCCUCGAACUCCUGAGCAUUCACCAGAAUCUGAACCUGUUCCGAAAGAAGACGCUCCCGAGGUUGUAGUAGAACCAGAGCCAGCGCCAGCCCCUGCACCAGCCCCUGUCCCAGCUCCAAUAGCCGCUGUCGGAGGUAAAUCGAUAGUUUUUUAAUAAAUAAAUUGUCCUUUUAUUUUGAAGUUGAAAACAUUUGGAAGUUUCUUCUUCACAUUGGGUAACUUUAAAUUUACUGAUGUCAUAGCUUGACUUAUUUUUACAGAUUUGUUAGACAUGGACAAUGCAACAAUAUCUACCGAAGAUCACAGCGAGAAACUCGCUUUGGCCCUUUUCUCUACUUCAACCACCACUAGUACCUGGGAAACCUUCAAUUCGGACGAUAAACAAAGUUCCCUUCAAGCAUUUAAUGCCUCAGAAUCUGGAAAAGCUGGUUGGGAGCUGGCCUUGGUAGAAUCUGCAAGCAAUCUGUCGAAGCCCGCCCCUGACCGACCCUUGGCUGG
rnacentral:lncRNA from 1 species